GAUGAACGCUGGCGGCGUGCCUAAUACAUGCAAGUAGAACGCUGAAGGAGGAGCUUGCUCUUCUGGAUGAGUUGCGAACGGGUGAGUAACGCGUAGGUAACCUGCCUGGUAGCGGGGGAUAACUAUUGGAAACGAUAGCUAAUACCGCAUGACAACAGCUAUUGCAUGAUAACUGUUUAAAAGGGGCAACUGCUCCACUACCAGAUGGACCUGCGUUGUAUUAGCUAGUUGGUGAGGUAACGGCUCACCAAGGCGACGAUACAUAGCCGACCUGAGAGGGGGAUCGGCCACACUGAGACUGAGACACGGCCCAGACUCCUACGGGAGGCAGCAGUAGGGAAUCGUCGGCAAUGGACGGAAGUCUGACCGAGCAACGCCGCGUGAGUGAAGAAGGUUGUCGGAUCGUAAAGCUCGGUUGUAAGAGAAGAACGAGUGUGAGAGUGGAAAGUUCACACUGUGACGGUAUCGUACCAGAAAGGGACGGCUAACUACGUG
rnacentral:rRNA from 1 species